AUUGAACGCUGGCGGCAUGCCUUACACAUGCAAGUCGAACGGCAGCACGGGAGCAAUCCUGGUGGCGAGUGGCGAACGGGUGAGUAAUAUAUCGGAACGUGCCCGGUCGUGGGGAUAACGUAGCGAAAGCUACGCUAAUACCGCAUACGAUCUACGGAUGAAAGCGGGGGAUCGCAAGACCUCGCGCGAUUGGAGCGGCCGAUAUCAGAUUAGGUAGUUGGUGAGGUAAAGGCUCACCAAGCCGACGAUCUGUAGCUGGUCUGAGAGGACGACCAGCCACACUGGGACUGAGACACGGCCCAGACUCCUACGGGAGGCAGCAGUGGGGAAUUUUGGACAAUGGGCGCAAGCCUGAUCCAGCAAUGCCGCGUGCAGGAUGAAGGCCUUGGUGUAACUAGCUUUGUCGGUAACGAACGGUAGAGCUCUAAUACAGUUUG
rnacentral:rRNA from 1 species